GUAAUGUCCAACAUAAGAUGAUCAUUUCUUGCUUUACAAAACUGAAGAGCUUGGUUAUUAUAACAUUUAUUUUUAAAGAAGAUAAUUACCCCCAGGCUGUAACUGCAAAUCAGGAACCAUCAGCCACUCCAGUGCAGAUGAAUAUGUAAAAGAAUAGCAACAGGACUAAUUUACUACCCAGUCUCUGAAUGUGGAUAGCUGAGAGGCCAGCAUGUGGUCAAGAGCAUCCUGGACAGCAUUGUGCAAGAUACUUGAGAGAAAGUAUAGAAAAAUAUAAACUAAAGGAAGAUUAAGGAAGCCAGAAAUGCUAAAAGGGAACAGAUCAAGUGUCUGCCUUUGGCCCAAACUUGAAAACUCUGAGGGAGCAGAAAGGUGAGGAAUGAAAAUGAAUAUAUAACAAAGGAUCUAUGUAUAUAUGCAUGUAGAUAUACAUGCAUAUUUGUCUAUA